rnacentral:rRNA from 1 species
AGAACGAACGCUGGCGGCAGGCCUAAUACAUGCAAGUCGAACGCACUCUUCGGAGUGAGUGGCAGACGGGUGAGUAACGCGUGGGAACCUUCCCAAUGGUACGGAAUAACUCCGGGAAACCGGUGCUAAUACCGUAUAAGCCCCUCGGGGGAAAGAUUUAUCGCCAUUGGAUGGGCCCGCGUCGGAUUAGCUAGUUGGUAAGGUAAUGGCUUACCAAGGCUACGAUCCGUAGCUGGUCUGAGAGGAUGAUCAGCCACACUGGGACUGAGACACGGCCCAGACUCCUACGGGAGGCAGCAGUGGGGAAUAUUGGACAAUGGGCGAAAGCCUGAUCCAGCAACGCCGCGUGAGGGAUGACGGCCUUCGGGUUGUAAACCUCUUUCAGCGCAGACGAAGCGAAAGUGACGGUAUGCGCAGAAGAAGCACCGGCCAACUACGUGCCAGCAGCCGC